rnacentral:rRNA from 1 species
UACGUAGGGCGCAAGCGUUGUCCGGAAUUAUUGGGCGUAAAGAGCUUGUAGGCGGUUUGUUGCGUCUGCUGUGAAAACUCGGGGCUUAACCCCGAGCCUGCAGUGGAUACGGGCAGACUAGAGGGUGGUAGGGGAGAAUGGAAUUCCCGGUGUAGCGGUGAAAUGCGCAGAUAUCGGGAGGAACACCGGUGGCGAAGGCAGUUCUCUGGGCCUUACCUGACGCUGAGAAGCGAAAGCAUGGGGAGCGAACAGG